UUGGACAAUGGGGGAAACCCUGAUCCGGCCAUCCCGCGUGUAUGAUGAAGGCCUUNGGNNUGUAANGNACUUUUGGCAGAGAANNNNNGGUAUCUCCUACUACGAGAUACUGCUGACGGUAUCUGCAGAAUAAGCACCGGCUAACUACGUGCCAGCCGCCGCGGUAAUACGUAGGGUGCAAGCGUUAAUCGGAAUUACUGGGCGUAAAGCGUGUGUAGGCGGUUCGGAAAGAAAGAUGUGAAAUCCCAGGGCUCAACCUUGGAACUGCAUUUUUAACUGCCGAGCUAGAGUAUAUCAGAGGGGGGUAGAAUUCCACGUGUAGCAGUGAAAUGCGUAGAUAUGUGGAGGAAUACCGAUGGCGAAGGCAGCCCCCUGGGAUAAUACUGACGCUCAGACACGAAAGCGUGGGGAGCAAACA
rnacentral:rRNA from 1 species